rnacentral:lncRNA from 1 species
UUUGUUUUUUGGUUGCUAUUUUCUUAUUUAGAAUUUUUUUUUAUUUUAUAUUUUUGCAAUUUCACCCUCCUUCAUCUUUUUCAUGUCAAAUUUGAUCCUUAUUCUUUUGAUUUUUUUUACUUUGGCAAGUUUUUAGAAUUGAUUUUUUUUAUUUCAUAUUUUUAACAUUACAUUUAUUGAGAAUUAAGCUUUUUAAUUGAGUCUAUGUCGGGAUUUUUUUUAACAAUAUUUUCAACUUUUAUUCUUUUGAUUUUUCUUGUUAUUUUAUUAAUUUUUUUUAAUUUGAUCAUUCAAUCAAAUAAAAA